CAACUACUCCCUCCGUCCGGAAAUACUUGUCAUCAAAAUGGAUAAAAGGGGAUGUAUCUAGAUGUAUUUUAGUUCUAGAUACAUCUCUUUUUAUUCAUUUUGAUGACAAGUAUUUUCGGACGGAGGGAGUAAAAU
rnacentral:pre_miRNA from 1 species